rnacentral:rRNA from 1 species
GAUGAACGCUGGCGGCGUGCCUAAUACAUGCAAGUCGAGCGAACGGACGAGAAGCUUGCUUCUCUGAUGUUAGCGGCGGACGGGUGAGUAACACGUGGAUAACCUACCUAUAAGACUGGGAUAACUUCGGGAAACCGUAGCUAAUACCGGAUAAUAUUUUGAACCGCAUGGUUCAAAAGUGAAAGACGGUCUUGCUGUCACUUAUAGAUGGAUCCGCGCUGCAUUAGCUAGUUGGUAAGGUAACGGCUUACCAAGGCAACGAUGCAUAGCCGACCUAAGAGGGUGAUCGGCCACACUGGAACUGAGACACGGUCCAGACUCCUACGGGAGGCAGCAGUAGGGAAUCUUCCGCAAUGGGCGAAAGCCUGACGGAGCAACGCCGCGUGAGUGAUGAAGGUCUUCGGAUCGUAAAACUCUGUUAUUAGGGAAGAACAUAUGUGUAAGUAACUGUGCACAUCUUGACGGUACCUAAUCAGAAAGCCACGGCUAACUACGUG